AUUUUUGGCUUCAGGGACCAUAAUAUCCCUGUCAUCAUUACUCAACUAAGCUGUCAUAAUGUGAAAGCAGCCAUAGACAAUAGGUAAACAAAGGGUGUUACUGUGUGCCAAUGACCCUUGAUGCCCCAAAACAGCCAACAGGUGGGGCUGGUCCACGGGCCAUAGCUUUUGGACUCUGGGUCCAGGCGAUGGUGGCGCAGAUUAAAAGAAGCAAAUGGAGGCUCUGAGGCCAGCAGGGCUGAAAGCCUGCUCUGCAUUCACUAAGUGUGUGACCUCGGUUUUUAACCCUACAGAUUAGAAGCAUGAGAUACAUUCACCUUGUUCGGCUACCAUCACCACUACCCUUCUCCAGAGCUCUUUUCCUCCUACAAAACAGAAACUCAGUAUCCACAGUAAGUCCUCCUUCCCCAUCCCUCCAGCCCCUGGUAACAACCAUUCCACUUUCUGUCUCAUCCAUGUUGUAUUAUACGGUACAUACUAGAAUUUCCUUCCUUAAAAAGGCUGAGUAAUAUUCUAUGUACGUUCAUGCUGCAUUCUGCUUAUCCAUUCAUCUGUCGGUGAACACUUAGGUUGCUUCUGCCUUUUGGCUAAUGAGAAUAAUACUGUUAUGAACAUGUCGUACAGAUAUCCUUAAACCCUCUCUAAUUGGUCCUCUGAGGGUUCCACUGGGUUUCUAGCAAGACCCUCACUGAUAUAUAGUAUGUGUGUGUAGUUUCAUCAUGUCAUGUUGAGUAAUUUAGUUAAUACGUGUAAAGCACUUAACGCGAGUGCUCAAUUAAUGCCUGCUGUUUGUUACCGGGAAGGUUUCUCUGUGGGGCAGAGACUAGACUGCCGUGCCUGUUCAUUUUCAGCACCAGCAAACUAUCUUCUCUAGCUGAGUUAGGCUGGGACCAUAUGACCACAUUCUUUCUUGAGAGUGGAAUGUGACUGGAGUGAGGCGCCCCCCUUCUAAGCCCGGCCCAUCGAAACCUCUGACAUCCAAUCCUUUGUGUCUUCUCUCUGUGUGGGCUAGACAUCCACCUUGCAGGACGACCCUGGAUGCCAUGUGUUAAGGGUGGCAGUGCUGCCAUCAGCCAGGGUCCCUUGAUGUGUGGAGCAGAGGUAGGUGCUAGAAUUAUCACCCACAUUUCACAGAUGAUAAAAUCAGGCGAUUUGGUAACUUGUCGAGCAGGUGGCAGAGACUAGAUUUGAAAUAAAGCAAGCGGUCUGGCUCCAGGCUCCACACUCCUAAACACUGCUGUACACACUCUCUCAAACUCAGGAACAAGUUUUCACGAUUAGAUUUUCCUUUUCCGGGACGGCUCUCAGACACAGUCUAAACUCAGGGUUGCUGCCGUGGGAGUACGUGGAGCUAACCAGCGCACCAAGGUGCCCUGGCUGUCCAACUGAUGGCAUUUCAUCCCCCACUGGUACAGGCAGCAGAAGGCCAUGGGGGGCAGGAGGAACGCUGAUCAGUGCUUGCAGCAGCUUCCUGGGCUACCUCUGUCCUGCUCUUCCAUGUUCGGUUUUUUCUCUUAGAGCCUGUGGCAUGCUCCAACCAUGAGGAAAGUAGACUGAAGAGAGAGGGGGUACUCCUAGCUCCAUGGCAGCAAAGCCAGGAUUACCUACUGACAUUACAGCUGGCAGCCUCCGGCUGCUGGCACCCUUUUAAAGAGAGCAGGAUGGCAAUUUUCCAGCUAAGUUCUCCCAAUUAGGCAGUUAGAGAAACAUUAUCCACCUCAGGAUAAAGCUGAUGAAAAGGAGGGGGCAGGGACGAAGAGGAGGGGUGCUAAUAUGUCUGCACUAGCCCUCACAGCCGCCCAGAGCACAAAGUCCCAGGGGUGCUCAGUGUUCACGGAGAAGCAUCUGUGGGGUCUGAUGAGCUGCCUGGGGGGCACACAGGUGACCUGUCUGCCAUGGCCACUUGAAGGUCCCCAUCUUUCUAAGAUCCCCAAAUUCUGCCAGCUCUGGUCAGAUAGGGUGGGCAAAGGGUGGCAGAAGAAGAGAAUUAACGUCAAUUCAGAGUCUGAUGAGGCUUCCCUCACCCACCCCAACGUGACUCAAUGUAGGGACUAGGGAAACUAAGGUCCCCCCCCACCCCGCCCUGACCCCUUGCAAGGAAAGCCCGAGAGACGACACAGGUCAUGAUUCCUGACUGCUAACCCCAGCCAUUCUCAGGAUUCCAUAGCUUAUUCACUAACCAAGCCUUUCCUAAGCACAGACAUCUUCUACUCAUCAUCACAUUCAGUUCUCACAACAACCUGGGACAUGGGGACUCCUCUUCUUCCCGAUUUGCACACGAGGAAACUGAGAUUUAGUCAAACUUACAGAAGUAGACCAGGGGUUCCACAUGCAGACCAAGCCAUGUGUCCAACUCCUCAGAAAGGCCUGGGGUCCUAGGACCAGAAGUCUAUUCAUCAACACACAUCUACUUAACGAUAAUGAGAAUGAUACCAAUAGUGCCUUGAGCACCAUGCUAAGUGCCUAACCCAGAAUAGCUAAUUUAACCCUUACAACUAUUUCCGUCAAAUGAGUCAUCACUCCUUACUUUGCAAACCUGGAGACUCUGGACCAGAGAGAUUAAGGGACUGGGCCAGGGCCGUGCACUAUGGUGGGAUUCAAGGCUUAGUGCUCCUGACUCAGGCUGGUGCUCCAGACCUCCGUGUCAGUCCACCUCUGCUUUGGACAAGGCCCAUCUAGCAGAACAGGCUCAAUGGGCUCUGCAGAGGUGGAGGGUGGUCCCUGCACUUGGGGCAGGUAUUCUACAAAGUGGUGAAAAAUACGUUCCCAGUUUACAAGUGUUAAAGGAGCUUGCAGUGAGGGAGAAGGGGAGGGAGAGAGAGAGGAGAGAGAUCCUGGGGAUAGAGCUGUCGCAGAUGCUUGUGAGGAAUGAGGAUCUGAAUGGAGCAUUACUGCUGGAAGUCCAGACAAAGGAGGCCAUUCUGAGCAGAGAUGUGGUAAGGCAGGUGUCUGAGGGACCACCAGCUCUCUGGUCUGGUACGCACAGAGAGGCAGCACAGGGCAUGAUGCCAUAAAUACGGGCUGACACCACACCGUGCAGGGAUUUGGAUGUCACAUACCAAGUUCGGAUUUUACCUUUGUGAAAUAGGGAACUAUUGAAUGUUUGGGGGCAACGUGCCAAGAUACCUCUCCAGGAUGAAUGGCCUGGUUAUGGUAUUUGGGAUGGAUUUGUAGAGGGAAAGACUAGGAGUCCGAAGACAUCGAUAAUGGAAUGAAGGGGGGAGUUAUGAAUGCCAUACUGGCAGAACACGGUGGCUAACCGGAAAAAUAUAGGAAACCAGGCCUGUUAUUAUCAUCACUGAUAAGACGACAGUUUGCGUACAGGAUCUUUCUGCUAAUUAUAUUUCCUUUGGCCACAAAUGCUUCCACAAAAGGUUGAGGUUGGAGGGAGAACCAGCUAAUCAAGCCUGCAUUACAAGAAGAAGCUCCAACUGCUUGGCACUAGCACUAGAGGAGAGGCUUCAGGCAUCAAACACCUACCGUCCUCUGAUUCCUUCACAAUUGUGGCCUCGUUGUUUAUGGGGAGUCUAAUAAAAAGCAAGGGAUUGCUGAUUAGCUGAAGUUUCCCUUGGCCGGGAUCAAAGUAAAUCUUUCAGAUUUAUACAACCCUUCAGGAAGGGCUGCAACCUUAUGCUUCCUUCAUUCCCACGACAUUGGGAUGGGCUGGGGGACCCUCAACCAGGGACAUACAGCAAAUCAGAAGCUGCCCUGGGCCCAGAAGAAACAUGGCUUGCUAGGAAUGGCUUGAGGGGGACAGUCCUUCUCGGUUAUUUGGGGACAGUGUGGAACGGGAAGGCACCAAUAAAUAUGUGUGCCUGUACUAUUCCACCAUUAAAAAUGAAGAAAAUACCACUUUACAAACUGCUAGGAUACGUAAGCUCACAAUGGACUUACAGUCUGUAAAAAGUACUGCUCUGUGACCGGCAUGAGUGAGCUGGGAGAGCCAAACCAGAAGUGAGUGAGCAGAGAUCUCACGAAAUUACUUCCUAGAUGUAGAUACUCAUCACUGGGCCAUUCAUGGCAAUUACCCUGGACGCUCUCCCCUCCCCCUCCCUCCUCUCCCCCCUCACCUCUUGCCAGCCCAAUUUUGCCAGUAAUUUUGCAAGCCGUGGAUAUGUUUCAUUGGGACUGGGCUCAAGUCUGCCAGAAAAAGCAAAUUCAGGCCAGCAAUAGUGGAAUUUGAACAUGAUGGCAGAGCCAAGCUGCUGCCAACCAGAACGUCACCUCAAGUUUGCUGUAGGGAAGAGGAAGGCAGGAUUUCUAAGCACUCGUGGACGGUAUUAGCCAAUUUCUGUUUAUUUAAAACAUCUUAUGCAACCCACAGUCAAGGGUUCCCAUUCCCUGGAAAUAUCUGACAAAUACUAUUCCAUGGCACCCAGAGGUCUCUAUUCUCAACAGAAGAACUCUCUUGUCUGCCUAUGCAAGGUGAGCUCUGAACAUUGCCAGUGAAAUCAGAAAUAGAUGUAAUAGAUUUGAAAACUUAGAGUUUUCUCUUUCAGCCAUUUAAAUAGCACCUGAGAACCCUCCAGAGUGUUUCUUAAGCAUGAGUUGGCAUAACAAGGAAAUGACACUCUGACAUGGGCCCAGAACAGUGGUUGUAGCUCUUUGAUUCUAUGAUACAUGCUUUCCACUUGGACCUUGGGAAAAUUUUAACACAAGAAUAAAUAUAAUCAUCUAUGUGGAGUACUUUUACAUGGUGCCUGAUACAUGGUAAGUGCUCAUAAAUGGUAAUUUAGAAACUAAGACCACUGAAACUGAUUUUUUUGUGAAUUUGUGAAUAUUUGUGAAACAUGUACCUUUCUGAUGUGUACAUAUGACGGUGUCUUUAUUUUCCCAGGAAUUCAUGUUAGAUAGGUUGUGUGUCACAUGAGGUCUUAAAUGGAAGACUUGCAUGUAUUGGUGGAAAAGUCUUUGGCAGAUGGUGCUAAGACCACGCACUAGCCUGCUCUGAGUUUGCCUCCCUAGUGACAGGGCCUGGAGCUGUUUCUGGCCUGGAGGUUUCAUCCAGUCUUUCAGUGCCCCACCUUUGAUAGGGCAGAUGUGAGCACGAAAUGGAAAGAAGAUUUGGAGUUAGUGGUUUCACUAACUGUUCUUCUUGAAACCCUAGGCAGAGCCAGACCAAGUCGAGGCUUUCUUUUUCUUUUAAAGUGUAUUUAUUUAUUUUGAGAGAGAGAGAGAAUCCCAAGCAGGCAGGCUCUGUACUGUCAGAGCAGAGACUAACGUGAGGCUCAAUCUCACUAACUGUGAGAUCAUGACCUGCGCCAAAAUCAAGAGUUGGAUCCUUAACCAACUGAGCCACCCAGGCACCCAAGGCCAAGCUUUUAACCCAGGAGAACAGGGUCAAGGAGCAGACCUCAGUCUGCACUUUAAGCUUAAGGUGCAAGAGUAGUCACCCAAGUGGUCAGCUCUGGAUCUCCAGAGAAACGAUGACCCAGGAAUUUGGAUGGUAUACAGUUCUGAGGGAUUUAGGACCUUGGCCAUCAAUAGGAGAUGAAACUGAACAUUUGUUAAAAGGGGUAAUUGUGUCAUUUGGCACCUGCAGGAACCUGUUUAUACACUCGUCUGCCACUCUGAUGGUGACUCACUUUGAGAGUAGGGAACACUCUAGCCAUCUUUUCACCUGAAUGGCAUUUAUGACAUUCUAUGGUUUGUUUCUGCCCCCUCAGGAUAUAUACUCUAUGGUUCUAAAGUCCCAGAAAACAGACUGGAGUUUCAUGAUUUUUUUCAAACAAUUUCAGUGGUCUCAGUUUUUAAAUUACCAUUUACGAGCACUUACCAUGUAUCAGGCACCAUGUAAAAGUACUCCACAUAGAUGAUUGUAUUUACUCUUGUGUUAAAAUAUUCCCAAGGUCCAAUGACCUGUUAGUGCUGACGCUUAUAUUUGAACUUAAGUCUGUCUAGAUCCCAAACCCAUCUACUGAACUACGACAUUUGGACUGCCUCUGCAGCUACUAAAAGCAUCAAAGUUGAUACAUAUGGAAGUCAAAGACCCUGGCUCACCCACAGCAAAGGUCUUGGAGUUCCACCAGAACAGACUUCUCCAGCUUGCCUUGCAGUUGACCCCUGGAAACUAUCCAAAACUAAGUCUCCCACAGGCACAUUCCUGAUAUGGGCACAUGUGGCUCUCCCGGGAAAUAGCGCCCACUGUAGAAUGAGUUUCCGAUCUUCAUGAUGGUUUGAUAAAGGCAACUCCAAUAGGCACAAAAGCUGGUUAUGCUGUUAAUGACUAAAAACUGUUAUCAUCCUGAUUAAUGCUGCCGUUGUUAAGAACAAUGAUUAACUCAGAAAGAAGGACCCAGGGGAAAGAAAUAGUGACUAAUCAAUCUCAAAGGAAUUGCCAGGUGAUGUUUAUUUCAUGAGAAGUGGAGGGAACCAAAAUCGCAAUCAUUCUUUGGUGUUGACAGGUGAGCAGCAGUACAGCCAGAAUGCAUCCAUGUCCCAUUUCAGGUACAUGGUCAGCAAGUACUCAUGCAGGGGCAGCAGGAAAGGGAUGGGGGAGUUUGUCUUCAGCAGGCCACCCAACCACGGUACGCUGCCUCUGUGUGCCUCUCCUGUCUUCCCUCCAAUCUUAACAUCCACUUUCUCAAGAGCCAGUCUUCACCUGAGUUGCUAAUUAAGUAAUUUCCUUGUUCAUCUGACUUGGAUGGUUUUCUUGCAACACUGCCAAGUGGAAUGGCUCUUAAUUAUGUCAACUCAUGAAACCACACCAAAGGCAACCUUAUCAGAACACUAAUUUGUCAUAUUAUUUAAAGAAAAAAAAAUCAGCUAACUGAUGGGAGGCCAAUAAAAGCCCUUUUAUUAUAAAGCUCUUCAUCGCUCAUCAGCUUCCAAAACCAGCCUUGAUUCUGGCUAUUAAAACUACUCCAUGGGCAGAACAGAACCAAGAAGAAUAUCUCCUUAAGUAGGAAUGCAAAGAGAGUCCUACCUUUCUACCCAUUUAAAAUUGGACUUAACUUGAUCUUUCAAGAAACACAGUCAGUUGAUCACAGAUACAAUGUCAGAGUGCUUGGCUUGGGGGUGAUGGUAUAAGACAUAAAUAAGAGAAGCAACAGAGACCUGAUUUUCUAGCCUUGCCCAUCUUCCUCAGAGAGUUGCUCUGGGAACAUAUGCUUUGGAGAAAUCCUUUCUAAGAGAAGUGAUUUCUGUCUAGUGCCAUCCAUCAGAAUUCACUCCCAGCCCAGGAGGAAGAAAGAAGGUGAUGUGAUAACAGAACCAGAGAGUGAGAUUUAAAUGCUAUGCUGAUGUUUUGAAAAUUGAGGGGGUACCAUGAGCCAAGGAAUGCAGGUGGCCUCUAGAAUCUGCAAAAGGCAAGGAAGUAGAUUCUCCCCUAGAGCCUCCAGAAGGAGUGUGGCCCUGCCAACAUCUUGAUUUCAGCCCCGUGAAAUACAUUUCAGACUUCUGACCUCCAGAACUGUAAGAUAAUAAAUUUGUGUUGCUGUA